GGGCUUCCUCGGAGGAUCACUCGGCUUGCGGGUCAAAGAAGAACGCAGCAAGCUGCGAGACUUGGUGUGAAUUGCAGGACACAUUGAGCCCUGAUUUCUCAAACGCACAUUGUGGUCUCGGGCGACACCCGAGACCUCGCCUGUCUGAGGGUCG
rnacentral:rRNA from 1 species